rnacentral:rRNA from 1 species
UGAACGCUGGCGGCAUGCCUUACACAUGCAAGUCGAACGGCAGCACGGGUGCUUGCACCUGGUGGCGAGUGGCGAACGGGUGAGUAAUACAUCGGAACAUGUCCUGUAGUGGGGGAUAGCCCGGCGAAAGCCGGAUUAAUACCGCAUACGAUCUACGGAUGAAAGCGGGGGACCUUCGGGCCUCGCGCUAUAGGGUUGGCCGAUGGCUGAUUAGCUAGUUGGUGGGGUAAAGGCCUACCAAGGCGACGAUCAGUAGCUGGUCUGAGAGGACGACCAGCCACACUGGGACGGAGACACGGCCCAGACUCCUACGGGAGGGAGCAGUGGGGAAUUUUGGACAAUGGGCGAAAGCCUGAUCCAGCAAUGCCGCGUGUGUGAAGAAGGCCUUCGGGUUGUAAAGCACUUUUGUCCGGAAAGAAAUCCUUGGCUCUAAUACAGUCGGGGGAUGACGGUACCGGAAGAAUAAGCACCGGCUAACUACGUGCCAGCAGCCGCGGUAAUACGUAGGGUGCGAGCGUUAAUCGGAAUUACUGGGCGUAAAGCGUGCGCAGGCGGUUUGCUAAGACCGAUGUGAAAUCCCCGGGCUCAACCUGGGAACUGCAUUGGUGACUGGCAGGCUAGAGUAUGGCAGAGGGGGGUAGAAUUCCACGUGUAGCAGUGAAAUGCGUAGAGAUGUGGAGGAAUACCGAUGGCGAAGGCAGCCCCCUGGGCCAAUACUGACGCUCAUGCACGAAAGCGUGGGGAGCAAACAGGAUUAGAUACCCUGGUAGUCCACGCCCUAAACGAUGUCAACUAGUUGUUGGGGAUUCAUUUCCUUAGUAACGUAGCUAACGCGUGAAGUUGACCGCCUGGGGAGUACGGUCGCAAGAUUAAAACUCAAAGGAAUUGACGGGGACCCGCACAAGCGGUGGAUGAUGUGGAUUAAUUCGAUGCAACGCGAAAAACCUUACCUACCCUUGACAUGGUCGGAAUCCCGCUGAGAGGUGGGAGUGCUCGAAAGAGAACCGGCGCACAGGUGCUGCAUGGCUGUCGUCCGCUCGUGUCGUGAGAUGUUGGGUUAAGCCCCGCAACGAGCGCAACCCUUGUCCUUAGUUGCUACGCAAGAGCACUCUAAGGAGACUGCCGGUGACAAACCGGAGGAAGGUGGGGAUGACGUCAAGUCCUCAUGGCCCUUAUGGGUAGGGCUUCACACGUCAUACAAUGGUCGGAACAGAGGGUUGCCAACCCGCGAGGGGGAGCUAAUCCCAGAAAACCGAUCGUAGUCCGGAUUGCACUCUGCAACUCGAGUGCAUGAAGCUGGAAUCGCUAGUAAUCGCGGAUCAGCAUGCCGCGGUGAAUACGUUCCCGGGUCUUGUACACACCGCC